GCUUAACACAUGCAAGUCGAACGAAGCACUUUAAUCGAUUUCUUCGGAUUGAAAUUUUAGUGACUGAGUGGCGGACGAGUGAGUAACGCGUGGGUAACCUGCCUCACACAGGGGGAUAACAGUUGGAAACGGCUGCUAAUACCGCAUAAGCGCACAGUACCGCAUGGUACGGUGUGAAAAACUCCGGUGGUGUGAGAUGGACCCGCGUCUGAUUAGCUAGUUGGCAGGGUAGCGGCCUACCAAGGCGACGAUCAGUAGCCGACCUGAGAGGGUGACCGGCCACAUUGGGACUGAGACACGGCCCAAACUCCUACGGGAGGCAGCAGUGGGGAAUAUUGCACAAUGGGGGAAACCCUGAUGCAGCGACGCCGCGUGAGCGAAGAAGUAUUUCGGUAUGUAAAGCUCUAUCAGCAGGGAAGAAGAAAUGACGGUACCUGACUAAGAAGCACCGGCUAAAUACGUGCCAGCAGCCGCGGUAAUACGUAUGGUGCAAGCGUUAUCCGGAUUUACUGGGUGUAAAGGGAGCGCAGGCGGAAGGCUAAGUCUGAUGUGAAAGCCCGGGGCUCAACCCCGGUACUGCAUUGGAAACUGGUCAUCUAGAGUGUCGGAGGGGUAAGUGGAAUUCCUAGUGUAGCGGUGAAAUGCGUAGAUAUUAGGAGGAACACCAGUGGCGAAGGCGGCUUACUGGACGAUAACUGACGCUGAGG
rnacentral:rRNA from 1 species